rnacentral:rRNA from 1 species
CGCCGAUUGACUAAGGGUUCCAGGGCCAGGUUCGUCCGCCCUGGGUUAGUCGGGACCUAAGGAGAGACCGAAAGGUGUAUCCGAUGGCCAACAGGUAGAGAUUCCUGUACUAGAGUAUAGAGUGAAGGAGGGACGCAGUAGGCUAACUCAAGCGUGCGAAUGGAAGAGCACGUCUAAGCAGUGAGGUGUGAUAGGAGUCAAAUGCUUCUAUCUGUAACAUUGAGCUGUGAUGGGGAGCGAAGUUUAGUAGCGAAGUGAGUGACGUCACACUGCCAAGAAAAGCUUCUAGCGUUAAUUUAUACUCUACCCGUACCGCAAACCGACACAGGUAGUCGAGGCGAGUAGCCUCAGGUGAUCGAGAGAACUCUCGUUAAGGAACUCGGCAAAAUGACCCCGUAACUUCGGGAGAAGGGGUGCUCAGUGUAACUGAGCCGCAGUGAAUAGGCCCAAGCAACUGUUUAUCAAAAACACAGCUCUCUGCUAAAUCGUAAGAUGAUGUAUAGGGGGUGACGCCUGCCCGGUGCUGGAAGGUUAAGAGGAGUGAUUAGACGUAAGUCGAAGGUAUGAAUUGAAGCCCCAGUAAACGGCGGCC